UAGGGUUUGAUCAUGGCUCAGGACGAACGCUGGCGGCGUGCUUAACACAUGCAAGUCGAGCGAUGAAGCACCUUCGGGUGUGAAUUAGCGGCGAACGGGUGAGGAACACGUGAGAAAUCUGCCUUCAACACUGGGAUAACUCCGGGAAACCGGGGCUAAUACCGGAUAUGAAACCUGCGGGCAUCCGCGGGUUUGGAAAGUUUUUCGGUUGAAGAUGAUCUCGCGGCCUAUCAGCUUGUUGGUGAGGUAAUGGCUCACCAAGGCGACGACGGGUAGCCGGCCUGAGAGGGCGACCGGCCACACUGGGACUGAGACACGGCCCAGACUCCUACGGGAGGCAGCAGUGGGGAAUAUUGGGCAAUGGAGGAAACUCUGACCCAGCGACGCCGCGUGCGGGAUGAAGGCCUUCGGGUUGUAAACCGCUUUCAGCAGGGAAGAAGCGAAAGUGACGGUACCUGCAGAAGAAGCACCGGCUAACUAUGUGCCAGCAGCCGCGGUAAU
rnacentral:rRNA from 1 species